ACUAAGCGUACACGGUGGAUGCCCUGGCAGUCAGAGGCGAUGAAGGACGUGCUAAUCUGCGAUAAGCGUCGGUAAGGUGAUAUGAACCGUUAUAACCGGCGAUUUCCGAAUGGGGAAACCCAGUGUGAUUCGUCACACUAUCAUUAACUGAAUCCAUAGGUUAAUGAGGCGAACCGGGGGAACUGAAACAUCUAAGUACCCCGAGGAAUAGAAAUCAACCGAGAUUCCCCCAGUAGCGGCGAGCGAACGGGGAGCAGCCCAGAGCCUGAAUCAGUGUGUGUGUUAGUGGAAGCGUCUGGAAAGGCGCGCGAUACAGGGUGACAGCCCCGUACACAAAAAUGCACAUGCUGUGAGCUCGAUGAGUAGGGCGGGACACGUGGUAUCCUGUCUGAAUAUGGGGGGACCAUCCUCCAAGGCUAAAUACUCCUGACUGACCGAUAGUGAACCAGUACCGUGAGGGAAAGGCGAAAAGAACCCCGGCGAGGGGAGUGAAAAAGAACCUGAAACCGUGUACGUACAAGCAGUGGGAGCACGCUUAGGCGUGUGACUGCGUACCUUUUGUAUAAUGGGUCAGCGACUUAUAUUCUGUAGCAAGGUUAACCGAAUAGGGGAGCCGAAGGGAAACCGAGUCUUAACUGGGCGUUAAGUUGCAGGGUAUAGACCCGAAACCCGGUGAUCUAGCCAUGGGCAGGUUGAAGGUUGGGUAACACUAACUGGAGGACCGAACCGACUAAUGUUGAAAAAUUAGCGGAUGACUUGUGGCUGGGGGUGAAAGGCCAAUCAAACCGGGAGAUAGCUGGUUCUCCCCGAAAGCUAUUUAGGUAGCGCCUCGUGAAUUCAUCUCCGGGGGUAGAGCACUGUUUCGGCAAGGGGGUCAUCCCGACUUACCAACCCGAUGCAAACUGCGAAUACCGGAGAAUGUUAUCACGGGAGACACACGGCGGGUGCUAACGUCCGUCGUGAAGAGGGAAACAACCCAGACCGCCAGCUAAGGUCCCAAAGUCAUGGUUAAGUGGGAAACGAUGUGGGAAGGCCCAGACAGCCAGGAUGUUGGCUUAGAAGCAGCCAUCAUUUAAAGAAAGCGUAAUAGCUCACUGGUCGAGUCGGCCUGCGCGGAAGAUGUAACGGGGCUAAACCAUGCACCGAAGCUGCGGCAGCGACGCUGAUGCGUUGUUGGGUAGGGGAGCGUUCUGUAAGCCUGCGAAGGUGUGCUGUGAGGCAUGCUGGAGGUAUCAGAAGUGCGAAUGCUGACAUAAGUAACGAUAAAGCGGGUGAAAAGCCCGCUCGCCGGAAGACCAAGGGUUCCUGUCCAACGUUAAUCGGGGCAGGGUGAGUCGACCCCUAAGGCGAGGCCGAAAGGCGUAGUCGAUGGGAAACAGGUUAAUAUUCCUGUACUUGGUGUUACUGCGAAGGGGGGACGGAGAAGGCUAUGUUGGCCGGGCGACGGUUGUCCCGGUUUAAGCGUGUAGGCUGGUUUUCCAGGCAAAUCCGGAAAAUCAAGGCUGAGGCGUGAUGACGAGGCACUACGGUGCUGAAGCAACAAAUGCCCUGCUUCCAGGAAAAGCCUCUAAGCAUCAGGUAACAUCAAAUCGUACCCCAAACCGACACAGGUGGUCAGGUAGAGAAUACCAAGGCGCUUGAGAGAACUCGGGUGAAGGAACUAGGCAAAAUGGUGCCGUAACUUCGGGAGAAGGCACGCUGAUAUGUAGGUGAAGUCCCUCGCGGAUGGAGCUGAAAUCAGUCGAAGAUACCAGCUGGCUGCAACUGUUUAUUAAAAACACAGCACUGUGCAAACACGAAAGUGGACGUAUACGGUGUGACGCCUGCCCGGUGCCGGAAGGUUAAUUGAUGGGGUUAGCGCAAGCGAAGCUCUUGAUCGAAGCCCCGGUAAACGGCGGCCGUAACUAUAACGGUCCUAAGGUAGCGAAAUUCCUUGUCGGGUAAGUUCCGACCUGCACGAAUGGCGUAAUGAUGGCCAGGCUGUCUCCACCCGAGACUCAGUGAAAUUGAACUCGCUGUGAAGAUGCAGUGUACCCGCGGCAAGACGGAAAGACCCCGUGAACCUUUACUAUAGCUUGACACUGAACAUUGAGCCUUGAUGUGUAGGAUAGGUGGGAGGCUUUGAAGUGUGGACGCCAGUCUGCAUGGAGCCGACCUUGAAAUACCACCCUUUAAUGUUUGAUGUUCUAACGUGGACCCGUAAUCCGGGUUGCGGACAGUGUCUGGUGGGUAGUUUGACUGGGGCGGUCUCCUCCUAAAGAGUAACGGAGGAGCACGAAGGUUGGCUAAUCCUGGUCGGACAUCAGGAGGUUAGUGCAAUGGCAUAAGCCAGCUUGACUGCGAGCGUGACGGCGCGAGCAGGUGCGAAAGCAGGUCAUAGUGAUCCGGUGGUUCUGAAUGGAAGGGCCAUCGCUCAACGGAUAAAAGGUACUCCGGGGAUAACAGGCUGAUACCGCCCAAGAGUUCAUAUCGACGGCGGUGUUUGGCACCUCGAUGUCGGCUCAUCACAUCCUGGGGCUGAAGUAGGUCCCAAGGGUAUGGCUGUUCGCCAUUUAAAGUGGUACGCGAGCUGGGUUUAGAACGUCGUGAGACAGUUCGGUCCCUAUCUGCCGUGGGCGCUGGAGAAUUGAGGGGGGCUGCUCCUAGUACGAGAGGACCGGAGUGGACGCAUCACUGGUGUUCGGGUUGUCAUGCCAAUGGCACUGCCCGGUAGCUAAAUGCGGAAGAGAUAAGUGCUGAAAGCAUCUAAGCACGAAACUUGCCCCGAGAUGAGUUCUCCCUGACUCCUUGAGAGUCCUGAAGGAACGUUGAAGACGACGACGUUGAUAGGCCGGGUGUGUAAGCGCAGCGAUGCGUUGAGCUAACCGGUACUAAUGAACCGUGAGGCUUAACC
rnacentral:rRNA from 1 species